AUCUUCUUAAAAGUAUAGGAGAGGUAGACAAAUCUAUAGAAUGCUUAAAAUUGGGCAAUGUGUGCUGGGGUAUGCUUGAAUGCCAAGAAGUUUAAAUGCAUGUAUUUUCCAUUUUGAUGUGGUCAUGCCCGUAGUUGUGGGAAUACAACAAAAUCUAUUCAGAGCAGAAGCUGUGGAGCAAGAUAAACAGCAUGAGAACCAAGGACACCUUUAGAAGAAGAGAAAAAGCAAAAGAAAUGACUCAUGGCUCUGAUUGGAUAAGCACCCGCAUGCACGGAUAAGGAGUGUUUGUAGAAUACUCUGUUGUCAAGUAAAGGUGGAUGGGAAAGUUGUAAGGGCAGAUGGGAAAGCUAAAAAAAAAAAAAAAAAGGAAACUUGUGAAUGUAUAUAAGUAAUGUGAGAACUUGUAAUAAAUGAUUUGGAUUGUUCACAUUUGAGUCCAUGCAUCAGAUGCUGCACAUAGUAACUGCACUGUAUCUUUGUCAAAUAUGUAAAUUAAUUCCUGUAAUUUUCAUAACUAUUAUUGUGCUAUACCUUUAUUCCCAUCUGUAAAAAAGUCAUAAUUUACCUGUCAGUGUAUGGAGAUGACUUCUUCCCAUCUCUAACUUUCCAAAGGACUGUAGUUUUGUUGCCUGUUGGGAAAAGACCUGAAGUUCACUGUAAUUAACUCUCAGAUCCCUUACGUCGUGUAGCUUUCUUACUUCUUCUGAAAUGGACACUAAUAUGGAAUUACUGACAGCUAAAGCUUCAGAAAGCAGUGUAAAUGAAUUUUGAAAGAAAAUUGGUGCAUAUGAGAGAAUGUAAGUUAGGUUGAAUGUGUCUGACAUGCACAAAAACAAUCUCUUCUGAGCUUCUUAUAAAGAAGAAAUCUGCUACUUGC
rnacentral:lncRNA from 7 species